rnacentral:rRNA from 1 species
GACGAACGCUGGCGGCAUGCCUAAUACAUGCAAGUUGAACGAUGAUAUUCUCUGCUUGCAGAGAAUUGAAGAGUAGCGAACGGGUGAGUAACACGUGGGGAACCUGCCCAUGAGAGGGGGAUAACAUUCGGAAACGGAUGCUAAUACCGCAUAAUGCUUUGGACCGCCUGGUCCAGAGACGAAAGACGGCUUUUGCUGUCACUCAUGGAUGGCCCCGCGCCGUAUUAGCUAGUUGGUGAGGUAAUGGCUCACCAAAGCUGUGAUACGUAGCCGACCUGAGAGGGUGAUCGGCCACACUGGGACUGAGACACGGCCCAGACUCCUACGGGAGGCAGCAGUAGGGAAUCUUCCACAAUGGGCGAAAGCCUGAUGGAGCAAUGCCGCGUGAGUGAAGAAGGUCUUCGGAUCGUAAAGUUCUGUUAUUAGAGAAGAACAAGUCAAGGAGUAACUGUCUUGACUUUGACGGUACCUAACCAGAAAGUCACGGCUAACUACGUG